GAUGGACGCUGGCGGCGUGCCUAAUACAUGCAAGUCGAGCGAACGGACGAGAAGCUUGCUUCUCUGAUGUUAGCGGCGGACGAGUGAGUAACACGUGGAUAACCUACCUAUAAGACUGGGAUAACUUCGGGAAACCGGAGCUAAUACCGGAUAAUAUUUUGAACCGCAUGGUUCAAAAGUGAAAGACGGUCUUGCUGUCACUUAUAGAUGGAUCCGCGCUGCAUUAGCUAGUUGGUAAGGUAACGGCUUACCAAGGCAACGAUGCAUAGCCGACCUGAGAGGGUGAUCGGCCACACUGGAACUGAGACACGGUCCAGACUCCUACGGGAGGCAGCAGUAGGGAAUCUUCCGCAAUGGGCGAAAGCCUGACGGAGCAACGCCGCGUGAGUGAUGAAGGUCUUCGGAUCGUAAAACUCUGUUAUUAGGGAAGAACAUAUGUGUAAGUAACUGUGCACAUCUUGACGGUACCUAAUCAGAAAGCCACGGCUAACUACGUG
rnacentral:rRNA from 1 species